rnacentral:lncRNA from 1 species
AUAGAUAUUAUAUACUUGAAUAUUUCUUAAUGGGUAUAUUUUUUAAAAAGCCUACACAAGAAUCAUAUAUAAAUAUUUUUAAGCUUUGUGUGAGAAUGAUGUCGAGUAAAAUUCUAUGAAUAUUGGGAAUAGGGAAGGCAAGUUAGAUGGUAGCCUUCUGAUAAUCAUAACAUAAACCCCUCUUAAAGCUAUAUAAUUAGAGAAUCAAUGUUAUAAUAAUUAUUCAAAUAUACAAAUGUUUUAAAUUAAGGAGUAUCACUAGAAAUUUCCACAUAGCCUAUAUCAUGUCUUGACAAUAUUUCUCCAUGCAUUCCUUUCUUUAUUAACAAGUUUUCUCCCCUUUUCUAGUGCACUUUCUACAAUGUCAUAUUUUUUCAUCUUUAGUUUUAAAAUAUGAUAUAUAGCAUAUCAUAUUUGUGCUCCUUGUGUUGCAAACAUUUCAUAUACAUAUGUAAGGUGAGAGCGAUAAAAAAAAUGAUGAGAGAGGGUUUAAAGUUAUAAGUAAAACAUAUCAUUGAGUAAAGAGAAUAUAGGCCUUUUCUGACAGCUCGUGUGAGCGACAUUCGUGUGACCGUUAUUUUAUUUUCAAUUACGUGGAUAAUCUAUGUGGGCAUGAUUAAACACUGUCAGGUUUUAACUUUGGUAUUCUGGGUAUGCAAAGAUAUUGUAAUCAUGUAUCAUAGCCAGUGAUCAUUCUGUCUGACUGAAUUGGCCAAUUCUAGAAGGAAACUCAUAUCCUAGCACACUUUGGACAGAAAGUCACGUGCAGGACAGGGGGUGAUUAUUUUAGACUGUGUCACAUGCAGUGGCAUAUAUAACACAAUAUAUAUUAAACCAAGAUUACACCUGGAUGUAUAUGACCACAUCAGUAAAAUUCUUUCUAAAAUGGCUGCAUACCUUACCCAGCAGACAAUCUCUGGCAGCAAACAUCCAGAGUAUCUGGCUGUUAUAAACUUUAUGCUUCUUUUAUUAUUAUUAUUACAUAAUUUUAUUUACAUUUCAAAUGUUAUCCCCUUUCCUAGUUUCCCCUCCGAAACACCCCCCAUUGCUUCCCUCCUCUCCCUGCUCAUCAACCCACCCACUCCUGCUUCCUGGCCCUGGCAUUCUCCUGUACUUGGGAAUAGAGCCUUCAUACCUUAUUGAUGACCAACUAGACCAUCCUCUGCUACAUAUGGAGCUGCAGCCAUGAGUUCCACCAUGUGUUUUCUUUGGUAGGUUGUUUAGUCCCAGGGAGUUCUGGGGGUACUGUUUUGUUCACGUUUGAAGUUCCUCCUACUGGGCUGCAAACUCCUUCAACUCCUUGGGUUCUUGUCAGGCCUAGAUGUCAAACUUGUUUUUGGAAAUGUGUCACUUGGUGUUGGCCACUCCACAGUCACUUAUUCUGACCAGUUUUGUAUCUCUGGAAUAGUCUCCACCUUUGGCAAAAGGAAGACUUUGGAAGAGUAUUAAGUGCUACACUCAUCAAUUAAUCAUGUAUAAAUUAAUGGUUUCUGAGAAAAGACCAACAGCUUCCUGUAGGGAUGAGUUGGCCCAGAGGUUGCCUUAUCUAUUCCAAGUGGGAAUCCUGAACACAUGUACCUAACAGUGACACGAAAUAGACUCACGUGUGUGUAUGUGUGUGUGUGUGUGUGUGUGUGUGUGUUUGAUGUAUCAUUAUGGCUAACAUGUAAUAAUAUUUAAAGAAGGAAUUAUUAAUUUGGUAGGAGACACAAGAGGUUGAAAGAGAAGAGGAGUAAUUUUCAUACAAUUUCUCACGUUUGAAGUUCUAAAAAAAAAAAUUACAUACCUCUUAGCCAGAGAUGAUUUAUAAAAUUUUACACAUCCUUUAGAGGGAACAUUCCACACUUAAAACAUUUCAAGGCAAUAACUGUAUUAACUUUCAUUAAGCUGGGCAUCAUUCCAGUGAGCACUGAAUCUAAGUUUUUUUAUAUAUCAUUUUGCGUGUGUAAAUAAUAUAGCACUAAUGAUAUUUUGUAAAUAUUUGUCCAUCUAUAUGAUUGGAAAAUUCCAAGAGGUUAUUAGACUAUCUCAAAUGGAAUUUGAAAAAAAAACUCAAAAAAUAAGCCACUGAAGACACAAACUCUUAACAGUUAAAGGAAUGUGUGUGAACAGCCACAGAGAGCCUUGCUGGUUGAGGGGAAAUUUGCAUCUUCACAAUAAGUGUUAUAUGAAAAGCAGAGCCCUUUUCACAUGCUAGCUCAGCUAUUGAAGUUAUUCUUAUCUCCUAUCUGGACUACUGCCUAGUAAGAAUAGGAAAUUCUUCAUUCAUUUUACCAAUUAUAUCUGCCAUGUGCAGGCAAUGCAGAGCCUUGGCGAACAUUCAGACAGCCUGCGGAUUGAAUUUGUUGGUAGAGGACACUCAGCAUUGUUCAGCAGUGCAGGAAGCUGGGCUGGCUUUAAUAAUACAUGAGGGCUGCUUUGGACGAUUUUUCAGGCUCUUGUGUUGACUGCAUGCAUGCUGCUAUGAGCCAUGAAGUCUGCCCACUUCAGGCUCUGUUAAGAAAAGAAACUCAGCACAGAAGGCUUGUGGAAAUUUGUGUUUUAUUGGCCAGAUCAACCUCUCCAAAUCAAACCUAUUUUAAAAUUGAAAGCAUAACAUUGGCCAAACAUUUAUUUGAGCUUCAUAGAUUCAUGUCUUUGCAACAUUCGAUGUGGAAAUAUUGUAAAGUGUAUAGGUCCAGUCCUUAGAAUUUUGUCAAAUAGUAAAACACUUGUUUUACAGAGGGGGUACAUUAAAAAAUGUAGACAUGAUGAGAUUCUUUUCUUUAGAUUCAAUAAAAAUCCAGUGAGUGUGUCAUCUGUAAUAUUAAACUGCAUAUAUAAUGAUGCAUUCAUUUUAGUUUCUUUGUUUGAAUUUAUAUCUAGUGCUGAGAAGUAUUUAUGUAGAAGACAAAGGACUUCAACCACUGAAUUAAAAAUCAUUAUAGGUUCUUUAUAUCAUACACAGUCUGAUGUCUGUGUGUCUGUCUAUGUUUCUGUCUGUUUUUCUGUCUGUCUCUAUUUCUCUCUGUCUCUGUCUCUCUGUCUCUCUGUCUCUCUGUCUCUCUCUGUCUCUCUGUCUCUCUGUCUCUCUGUCUCUCUCUCUCUCUCUCUCUCUCUCUCUCUCACACACACACACACACACACACACAGAGGGGGUGAAAGAUAGGGGAUUCUUCUAAUCCAUUUAAAUGAGUCAUGUAGAUUGUGGACCCUAAUAUUUAGCCAAAGAUAUGACAUGUAAGUAAAAAUGACAAAAGAAAAAUAUUGUAGUGUACAAACAAAACUUACAAUGGGUUCAUAAACCAUAGCUCAUCUUCUAAUGUUUAAUUUUUGCAAAAAGCUUUAACAGAAUAAUGCUAUAUCUAAAUUCUUUAAGAAAUACCUGGACAACAGACUGUACUCAAUACUACAAGAAUAUCAGAGAGGUGGAAAUAGCAUACACACUCACUCACAAACACACAUACACACACACAAACACACACACGGAGUCUUAGUUCUGAGCAAAAUGUCCUGGUUGGAACUGAGGCCACUGAGUAAAACUACUUAGUUCCAUUCUUUCUUUUGUCCAGACAAGUUGCACAAUUUGUCAGUGAGUGCAUCAGCUUGGGGCCCUCCCAUUCUUCUCCCCCCCCCCCGACCCCCCAGGCAGCCUACAUUUCACACUCUUCUCCAUAUCCUCUAUCCAGGCUCCUUAAUGGUCCAGCUACCUGCCUCCAAAAGCAAAGAGCAGUGUCAUAAUCACCAUCAUGAUUGAUGGCGCAUAGAGUGACAAGUCUACAGAACAAGGAGCUUUGAGGACAAUGGCUUCAUCUUGAAAAGUGAAGUGUAUACUAAGCCUUUGAUCUGAAAAUGUGUCCCACUGCAAUCACACCUUCUAAAGCUUCACAAGUGUCAAAAUCAUAAUAUCUUCGGAUCUUUUGGGGCAAUUGAGUUUUGCCAAUAAAGUACAUAGGUUUGAUUUUAACUUUCUUGUAAAUUAAACAACAGCAUCAUGUUUAGACUUCACUAGUAUAUGCUAAAGGAAGCAAAUCAGUAGCCUGGCAAUCAACAAUCAGAAAGACCAGAGAAUAGACUCCUGUCGACCAUGGCUAAUUCGGGAUAUUUUGAUUAAAUUCCCUGCAGUGUAAAUGCUAGCUCUGACAAGGCAGCAUUCUCCUUGGCUUAUGUAGGUCAAACAAUGACUUAAUUGCUCUAUAAAGAUGUCAGUAUAAAUUGAAUUACUUCUCAGUUAUGUAGUGAAUUUACUAGACAUGGGGGCAGAGGGACUUUACAUGAAACAGUAAUUUAAUUACCUUCCUGGA